GGCACUUUGCCAGAGUGGUUAAUGGGUAGCACUCGAAUUCCUGUAGCUUACUACAGGAUAAUAGAUAUGCUAUGUCUUCGGACGCGCAGGUUCAAAUCCUGCAGGUGUCG
rnacentral:tRNA from 1 species